rnacentral:misc_RNA from 1 species
UAGUGAGAGCGAUGCUUUGGGGCUGGAAGAGGGACCGAAGUUAAGAUGGCGCCGUUCGAUUGUAAAACUGACCAGAUAGAGAGGUUCCUGACACAGUUCGAAAAGCUGGCCAGGGCGAGUCGGGUACCAUGCGAUAGUUGGGCGAUUCAGUUGUCAGGACUUCUCCGCGAUAGCGCGAAACAAGUCUAUCACCAGCUAAGUGACGAGUCGGCGGACGACUAUGAGGUCCUGAAAGCCGCUUUACUGAGGCGCUUCCAGGUGACAGCCGAGACUUACCGUCUCCGCUUUAGACAGGCAAAAAAAGAACAAGGCGAGACACAUGACCAAUUCCAUCACCGUGUGUUACACAAUCUAGACAAGUGGUUGAGUAUGGCUAACGUAGACCCGUCCGACCACAAGAGUGUGCGGGAGGAACUGGCUAAGGAAGUAGUGAUGGGCAGUUACCGGCCGGACUUAACAUUCCAUCUGGAGGCGCACGGAGCAGCCAGCCUUGCAGAAAUUGCAGUCGCUGCCGAGCGGUUCGACGCAGCGGAGCAGAAACGGUGGAAAGGGAGGAAGGAGGCUGAACAGAACGAAAAGCCCCCCAUCCAACCCAGCAACAAGGACGGCACUGUAAGCAAGGCGGUAACUCACCCCAGGAACGGUGGUCAAACUACCGGAGAAAGACCGGAGGCUAAACGAAUGAGUAACAGUUGCUUCAAGUGCGGUAAAGAAGGUCACAUCUCUCGCGACUGCCCUCAACGGAAAGUGAAUGACCACGCUUCGCUUAAUACGUUAAUGGGUGGAGACAUACACAGCCUGGUGACUACAAGAGGUAUGGUAAAUGGUCAGGAGUACGACAUUGUGCUGGACUCCGGCUGCACGUACCCCGCAGUGAUUGACAGUCGCAUGGUCGCGCCAGAAGAUAGGACAGGUGAGAUGGUGGCGAUUGAGUACAAUGACCGGGACAUCAGGAAGUUUCCCGUGGCGUACAUUGACAUCGACUGUCGAUACAUUAGCGGAAGAAUCAAGGCCGCAUGUUUCGACAAUCCCAAGCACCCGAUCAUUCUGGGGUGCCGGCAUGUCAUUUGUCCGGAUCCAGGGGCUCAUUGCGCCGAGUUACAUGCGGUUACUCGCGCCCGAGCAGCUCGUAAAACCUCCAUCCCUUUAUCAGUCGCCAACCCCGUCGAGAACACCACCCCUGCCGAACUGCGGAAACUACAAGCCGAAGAUAACAGUCUCCAGCGGCUGCGAGACUUAGCUGUAACUGGGAAGACAAGAGAAAUAGGCGGCAAGGAGGCCAAAGUGGUAGUCAAAAAAGGGAAGCCGCCAUUGCACAGAGCAACAGACAUAAGUAAUAGUGGGACCUAUGCCAGUGACAAUGACAAUUUACUCAGUGAGGGUGAAGACGUAGACUAUAGUACCUCAGGGUGGAGGAAGGGUCAACGUGAGACACCAUUCCCUAUUGUCUGUUACCGCUGUAAUGGCGCAGGACAUGUUGCUAAGUGGUGCCCUAAAAAAGCAUGUAGACCUGAGGCGCAUGCGAGGGUUGAAUGUUACAGCCGCGGGAAGGUAGGACACUACUCGCGGAGCUGUCCCCAGGGCAACAAGUCACGGUGGGCAGCAACGGCUGACAGAGCUAGAGGCGGCGGAAACAGCGAGCGGAGGUUUUCAGAGGUUGGCGACAUAGAUCAUAGCGAUCUUGAUCUAGACGGUAGUUACGUGAAGGGCAGCAUUAAGGCUUCGUGUUUGGAGGAUCCCAAGCAUCAGGUCAUUCUUGGCUGCAAGCAUGUCAUUUGUCCUGAGCCAAAGGCCCAUUUUGCUAAGCUGCACGCGAGUGGCGCUCGCAGGCAGAUGAUGGCCAGGGAGGCUAACGAUGUAGAUGUUGAUAGGCCUGGUGGAGGUAGCGAGCAGAAGUUGUCAGCGGUUAGUGACGAAGUUCACAACGAGGACGAAGCCAAUGAAAUAGGCGUUCGCUCUGAUGAGGCCAGCGAAGUAGGCAUUAGAGACGAUGGUGAUGGCGACGUCGGUGUUAGUGACGACAAGACUAACAUGGCUAAUGAUGUAGAGGAAAGCGGAGUAGGAGAGAGCGAUGGUGACGAGUGCAGGCUAGGAAUUAGCGAGGAUGAGUUUGGCAAGCUAGACUCUAGCGUUUGUGAUGCCAGUGACGUGGAGGUUAGCGUUGUUGUGGCUAGCGAAGGGGCGGGGGUUAUCGACGGACUGAUGACUCACGCUGGAGGAGAGUCAGGGUAUGGAGAUAUUGCUGAUCUCCUGGGAAGCCAGGCUAGUCGAAGCCACGAGGGAAGUAAGCAUCUGCAGGUCGAUGACCAUAGUCUUGGGAAGAUGCGAGCACUGGGCAUAGGUGCUGGGUCAAGGCAGGAUGCUGAAAGUGGCGAUCGCGAGAUGCGAGGACCAACUAACAGGGUGGAACAGCUGCAGGUAGAUGGCAGUGGCCAUUGCGGGUGGCAAGAACCAGCUGUCGAGGUUAUACCUGUGCAAGCGGAGGGCAGCAGCUAUCGCGGGAUGCGAACGCUGACUGUCGAGAUGAAGCAGAUGCGGGUGGACGACGGCGGUGAACGCGAGUGGCGAACACCGGCUGUCGAAGUGGAAACUUGGCACGCGGAGGGCAGCUGCUAUCGCGGGAUGCGAACGCUGACUGUCGAGAUGGCACAGAUGCAGGUGGACGGCAGCGAGGAACGUGAAUGGCGAACGCCGGUUGUCGAAGUGGAAACUUGGCACGCGAAUGGCGGCGGCGAUUGUGGGAUGCAAACGCCGGCUGUCGACGUGACACUGUUGCAGGGGGGUGACGGUGGCGAUCGCAAGUGGCGAAAGCCAGCGGUCGAGGUGAUACCGCUGCAGGUGGUUGGUGACAGCUAUUGCGAAGUGCGCAUAGCAAGGGUUGCCAUGGAAAUACCGCAGGCGGGUGUCAGUGGCGAGCGCUCGACGCGAGCGCCGACUGCUGAUGUGGAACUGCUGUAUGCAGGGGGCACUGGUGAUCGCUGGGUGCGAACCCCUGUUACCAGUAAGGAACCGCUUCAAGCGGAUACCGUUCAGACAGUAGCAGUAGAGGUGGUGCCGGUGAGGGCACGGGACAGCAGUGAGCAACGGGGGCGGACACCAGCUGACAAAGACGCGUCAUCGCUGGCGAGAGGCAGUGGUGGUUCCGAAGAGCUAGAUCGAGCUGUCUGUGAGUUGCCACAGGCGGAGGACAUAGGUAAAGCUAGUGUAGGAGUGGGUGGUCAGCUGAUAUCUGUGUCGGUAAACUGCGAUAGGUCACACAGUGGUCAAGACGUAAAGUACCAAGGACUGGGUACUGUUGACUGGCUACUACCUGAUGACAACACCCCGGAAAUUAACCAGCUAGAGAGAGCUGUUGGUGACGGCAUGCAGCCUGGCCCGGCCUCUGACGAACCAGUAAAGUGGAAACAAGUCCGUAGGCCUAAUAGGAAAGUUAGGAUACGAAAUGAGCGCAGUCUCAAAAGCGCCAAAUCAGGUAUGGUGGCUAUGAUACGCUGGUCAGAGGACAGGGUUAGUCAGGUCACCAGUGCAGGAAAAUGUACACUGCUGUCACGCAGCAUAACAAUAGCAAUUGGUCAUCUGGUGCGCAACGACCAUAGAGAUAGUUGUUGGUUGCUGGUGUUGGAGUUCCACCCUGGUCAUGCUGAUGAGUGGCCAAAGAGGUGGCUGCUUUUGUGGCGAGGACAUAGGUCAUGCAUGUUUGGGUCAAAAGGAGGCGGAACCUCCUGGUAUGUUGUCACAUGGUUGAUGACGUCAGGGGCAGUGAGGACACCUUCCCUAGUCGGCGGCUACGCUCUGGCAAAGGGGUGUGGCCGGAAGAGGGGUGUACGGAAUUGGCUGCGGCAUUAGUCGAUGCAAUAGUUGUCAGCCGCCAUGAUAGGGCUGCAAUCACACCUCUUGCCGGAGUAAGUGCGGAGAGUGCACUUUUAGCAAGGGGGUGUGUGAGGCGGCGUUGGUGUGUCCAACUUGUUGUGUUAUUGUUUAUCUAGGUCAGACGGGGUGACGACGGAACAGGUCGACCUAGGUAUAGUUAACCCCUGCCAAGAACAGGCUUAGCAAGGGAGUGCAAAGGUGCACGUGUAAAUACGUUGAACCGUGGGUUAGUGAUUAGUAGUUGUGAGUAGACAGCUUGACUGACUGCUGCUUUGUUAGGGCCCAUACCACUGGGUUCAGAUGGGUACACUCUUAGCACGGGGGUGUAUGGGUGGUACGGACAGGGUAUGUAACUGUAGUUUUAAGUUCCGGGUGGGGGAAGUAAUCGCAGGGAAGUUAGUCCGCGACUGGAGUAUGAUAGUAUGACAUGUAGAUAUGGUAGAAGUGUCUAUCCUGUUUUCAAUACCUAGUGAUUUAGACUAGGCGUAAUCCAGUACUAGUAGAUUGUAGGUAGGUAGUUUCGGGAGUUUACCUCACGUUGAUGACUUCAGAGAAGGUCAUGUAAGAUGUAGGUAAAUAGAGAUGCAAACCACCCUGCAGCCCUAGUGUUACGAAAUCGGAAUUUCGCUUUUAGCACGGGGGAGUGUCGUGAAAGAGUGGGAUAGGGCUGUAGUGUGGGUUUGUAGAUCUAUUUUACUCUAGAUAUGACGUAAUUUCUCUCUAGAAAUUACGUCAUUUUUACGUCAUUUACGCGUGUGCGGGUGGGAGCGUAGGCUCGUGGUGGCUGAGGCGUGAUUGGUUGUGGUGUGUCAGGUGGUAUGACUGGCCAACAAGACGGUUACGAGACUGAAAGAUCUAGAGAUGCAGGCUGAGCGUUUGGACUGAAAGAGAGAAAGAACUGGACGACAAGCUGGGCUUUACGAGAUACUCUAGGGAGAGACAGUGAUCUUGAGAUCUCAAGUCUUCCUUUGCAAUUGUCCUUCGCCGAACUACUGAGAGAAAAGGACAUCAACCUAGAAGGUGAUAUAGCCACACGGUCGUACCUGUGCGUUGGAAAGAACAACUUCGUCCGACCUGACGACCAAGUAACGGACAAGUGUUCCGGCCACUGGUAUCGGUGUUGCGUCCAUACCAAGAUCGUCGGCCUGCUAGCGAUAGUUCGAAGUGUACCUUCCUCGUACUCCUCUCGUCGCGUGCCGAUCUACAGAAGACCGAAGUCUUCGGACAAUAUUUCUUCUGCGGCGCGACGAGAGAUUACCCAUACUGCAUCCGCCAUUGGACAGUGCAGUGACAGUUGUGCGUGUGUGUUCUGCAAGAACUAAUCUCCACACCACAAAGUCGAGAACACAGCUAAGUGGCGUGCGCAUAAGGAGUGUACGGGGAGAGUGUGUGAGCAGUAUUGUGUGAGGAAUAUUGUGUGAGGAGUAUUGUGUGAACAGUAUUGUGUGUAUGACAGAUAAGGUUAGAUCUGGCUCUCAGUUAUCUGGACAUAAUAGAAGCAGGGGAAAUAAUUAGGAAACGGGACGGUCUAGACAACGAUCAAGGGUUCAUACUUUGUAAUUGUGACAUUUUUGGGUUUGUAUGAACUUCUGGAAAUAAUAAUUAACAUCUUUUAAUGCACUAAAUUGCCUCGUGUUUUACUUUGGGGUAUGCGUGCUUGGGGGCUCGAGCUGGUUAGAGUGGGUAAUUAAUAAGCAAUUUAGUGUGGUAGCACGCGGUAAGUGUCGACGUGGACUUGGUGGGGGUAUAGACGGUGUGUUGGACUGGUGAUAGAAAUCGUACCCCUUACCAAAUCUACGGACCCUGCCCCAGGGUUGCGACACACUUCUAAAGAAAUAUGUUUUGUACUCAACUAGUUUUAUCUUACCCUACUGCUAGCAUUUAUUCUUCUUUUUAAGUCUUUUUGUUAAUGUGAUCUUUUAUGUCAGUUUUUAUACUUCUUUUAAAUAUAGCUUUGUUUUUAUCUUUAUUUGUGCACUUUAUUUAAGAACUAACCUACUUUGUUUGUAAGAAUGUUUAUAUUCAUUUCGUCAUUUGUCCUUUGGAUAAGGCAGAGCACAUGGGCAAAAUUUACCCCUUAGUGUGGGGCAAUAGUCAGCAGGUCCUGUACAGGAAACCAGUCCAGUCUAUCACAUUCGUAAGUUCUUCCUCUGGCCACCGCGGCCUCGACCACCCUCUAAGGUUCCUUCAAGAACAAAUGUCUUUCCGAGUCACAGGAACAAACUAGACCAAAUUGCGCUACUUGACUGCUGCAAAUAGAGGUUCCUGGUAUCCUACGAGUGUGGCGACCAUACCUCGUACGAAACCAUUGGACAUGUUUUCUGUGCGAGAACUGGAGAAUCUUCCUCAUGCACUUAUUCUCGAAUGCCUCCUCUUUGUGCCGGCAACCAGAGUCCACGUUUUCCAUCCGUAAAGCAGGAUGGACUUGUACGGACUCUACUUUGUACUAAAGUACUUUGUACUAAGCCUGUUGUUAUGGCUAUGCCAGAUCUUGUCGAACCCAGCAAUUAGUGCUUGGUAUCAGGCCGAUGUUGUUUGCAAAGUGUAGGUUGCAAAUGGGCCUUCCAACUUUGAAAAUGGUAGUUUGAUGGGCGUGGAGUGUUUCACCCAUGAUGUUCUUCAAGAUAUUGAACAGCACAGAUGAAAGCGUCAUCCUUGAAAGACAUCUAUUUCACGUGAGCAGUACAGAUGAUAGGGCGCACAACCUACUGUCGUGUGAAUGAAAACUCCUAUGAAGUUCUCCAGCUGUACUGCGCUCCUUCAGCUCUUAUGCAGCGCUUCAAUGACUUGGACGAGACUGUCUUUGAUGUCUGAAGUUUUGUAUUGCAAGCCAUAGCCACUGGUGCCAUUCUCUGUGUGGGGACGUGUGUACACAGGUGCUGGGGUGGGUCUCCUCUGCAGUCUAUCAUUCAGCUUUUGGAUUGGUAUUGGUGCCAUUGUGGACGGUCCCAGGAGAACUCUGCUACCAC